CGUGAACGCUGGCGGUAGGCCUAACACAUGCAAGUCGAACGGCAGCACAGUAAGAGCUUGCUCUUACGGGUGGCGAGUGGCGGACGGGUGAGGAAUACAUCGGAAUCUACUUUUUCGUGGGGGAUAACGUAGGGAAACUUACGCUAAUACCGCAUACGACCUACGGGUGAAAGCAGGGGAUCUUCGGACCUUGCGCGAUUGAAUGAGCCGAUGUCGGAUUAGCUAGUUGGCGGGGUAAAGGCCCACCAAGGCGACGAUCCGUAGCUGGUCUGAGAGGAUGAUCAGCCACACUGGAACUGAGACACGGUCCAGACUCCUACGGGAGGCAGCAGUGGGGAAUAUUGGACAAUGGGCGCAAGCCUGAUCCAGCCAUACCGCGUGGGUGAAGAAGGCCUUCGGGUUGUAAAGCCCUUUUGUUGGGAAAGAAAAGCAGCGGGUUAAUACCCCGCUGUUCUGACGGUACCCAAAGAAUAAGCACCGGCUAACUUCGUG
rnacentral:rRNA from 1 species